rnacentral:rRNA from 2 species
GCGCCGAACCUUACCUACUCUUGACAUCCACGGAAUUCGCUAGAGAUAGCUUAGUGCCUUCGGGAACCGUGAGACAGGUGCUGCAUGGCUGUCGUCAGCUCGUGUUGUGAAAUGUUGGGUUAAGUCCCGCAACGAGCGCAACCCUUAUCCUUUGUUGCCAGCACGUAAUGGUGGGAACUCAAAGGAGACUGCCGGUGAUAAACCGGAGGAAGGUGGGGAUGACGUCAAGUCAUCAUGGCCCUUACGAGUAGGGCUACACACGUGCUACAAUGGCAUAUACAAAGAGAAGCAAACUCGCGAGAGCAAGCGGACCUCAUA